CUUCAAAAUGCACUCCUAUAGCUGUUUGGGAAGUGGAGGAAAACAGAGGGGUAUUAGGGUAAGCCGCUGCCAGACUGGAGUUCCAGAGGAGUUAAGCAUAAGUCCCGCUAUAGUCCUAGCGGCUUCCUGGACUCCGGUUACGGCCAAAGGGAGGGCACUCCUGGCUGAUUGGCCUGGAGGGAUGGUGAUGGGAGCCUAGCAGUGAUAAAAGUAUUUUGGGG